AACGAACGCUGGCGGCAGGCUUAACACAUGCAAGUCGAGCGAAGACUUCGGUCUUAGCGGCGGACGGGUGAGUAACGCGUGGGAACAUACCCUUUGCUACGGAACAGUCCCGGGAAACUGGGUUUAAUACCGUAUACGCCCUUCGGGGGAAAGAUUUAUCGGCAAAGGAUUGGCCCGCGUUGGAUUAGGUAGUUGGUGGGGUAAAGGCCUACCAAGCCGACGAUCCAUAGCUGGUUUGAGAGGAUGAUCAGCCACACUGGGACUGAGACAGGAUCAAACCCUUGUGUUAG
rnacentral:rRNA from 1 species